rnacentral:rRNA from 1 species
UACGGGGGGGGCAAGCGUUGUUCGGAAUUACUGGGCGUAAAGGGCUCGUAGGCGGCCAACUAAGUCGGACGUGAAAUCCCCAGGCUCAACCUGGGAACUGCGUCCGAUACUGGAUGGCUUGAAUCCGGGAGAGGGAUGCAGAAUUCCAGGUGUAGCGGUGAAAUGCGUAGAUAUCUGGAGGAAUACCGGUGGCGAAGGCGGCAUCCUGGACCGGCAUUGACGCUGAGACACGAAAGCGUGGGUAGCAAACAGG